rnacentral:rRNA from 1 species
GGUUCAUUCAAAUUUCUGCCCUAUCAACUUUCGACGGCUGGGUCUUGGCCAGCCAUGGUGACAACGGGUAACGGAGGGUUAGGGCUCGACCCCGGAGAAGGAGCCUGAGAAACGGCUACUACAUCCAAGGAAGGCAGCAGGCGCGCAAAUUACCCAAUCCCGACCGGGGAGGUAGUGACAAUAAAUACUGAUACAGGGCUCUUUUGGGUCUUGUAAUUGGAAUGAGUACAAUUUAAAUCCCUUAACGAGGAACAAUUGGAGGGCAAGUCUGGUGCCAGAGCCGGGUAAUUCCAGCUCCAAUAGCGUAUAUUAAAGUUGUUGCAGUUAAAAAGCUCGUAGUUG